CCCAAGGGGUCGUGACCCUUCUCGGAGGCUCCAAGUCUGCAGAUAACUUAAGUCCUCGGCACUCGCGACCUGCCGCCCCUCCUCCUCUCCUACCCACUGCAGGAUCCGGAGUUUCUUUUGGGAACCUCCGGAGGGAUGGAUGGAGCCUGAAGAUUCGGGAAAUAGGAAAUCCGCGCUGAUCAGAUGGCCGGCGGAAGCGCGCAGCCAGAUAGAGGGCAAAUAGAAGCAAUAUUCACAGGCAGAACCUGGAAACAAAGUCUCAAAAAGACCCUGAGAUAACAAUUCUCCUAUGGUGGUCAGGCAAAGGCAUGGACAGAACUAUCUUCACAGAAGCCACAGCACUUCACAGACACCACUCCUGGAAGAAAACUAUGGGGACAAUAAAAAUCACAACUCACCAAUCAGCCCUCUUAGCAACCAUGAACCCUUACUACCCAUGAAUGUCAGACUUCCCUUAGAAAUGGUAUGAUCCUGGGCUUCCCCAGUGGCGCAGCGGUUGAGCGCUGGGUUGAGAAGCUGCCCGCGGCCUCUGUGGCACAGGUUCUAUCCCCGGCUGCUCCCCGGCCACUGGAGGAGGGUCCCACAUGGUGCGCGGACCUCUCCUGCCGCCCGCUGCUCCCCUCAGCAGUGUACU